CACGUCAUGACGUUACUUCCAUGUGGAGUCUAACAGUUAGCUUUCAGUUUGUUUGCUAACGGAAUUCUCUAAUGCGGACAAACUUAUGAAUCAGAAGCGGCAUGUUUUCUGAGGGGAAAAGUGAUGAUAAUGAAGAUUUUCUUUAAUGUAAUCGCAAUCACUAUACUCUAUAAUGUUGCUCCUGGUUUUGUUUCAGAUAAAGUAUCAGUGUCUGUGAAGGAGUUAGAUUCAGUCACUCUACACACUGGAGUUAAAACAAACCAACAAGAAGCUAUUCAGUGGUAUUUCAGCAGCACUUGCAUCGCACACAUCAGUGGAGAUCUCAGUUUUAUCUGUACAGAUGUUCAGUGUAAUGAAGGCACUGAGAGAUUCAGAGACAGACUGAAGCUGGAUCAUCAGACUGGAUCUCUGACCAUCAUGAACAUCACAAACACAGACUCUGGAGAAUAUAUACUGGAAAUCAUAAACAGCAAAUACAGUGAAGAGAUCUUCAGUGUUUCUGUCACUGGUGUUUCUGCAGCUGAACUAUAUGAAAUGAAGGAGGGAGGAUCUGUCACUUUAGAUUCUGGUGUAAUAAAACGCCCAAAUGAUGUGGUGACGUGGUAUUUUAAUGAGACUGAAAUCACUGAAGAUCAGAGUGAGAUCUGUACAGAUGUUCAGUGUAAAGAGAGAUUCAGAGACAGACUGAAGCUGGACAAUCAGACUGGAUCUCUGACCAUCACAGACACCAGAACCACAGACUCUGGACUUUAUAAACUACAGAUGAUCAUCAGCGACAGCAGCUUCAGCAUCACCAGAGUGAAGAGAUUCAGUGUUUCUGUCACUGAUUCAGGUCUGUCUAUAGGUGCUGUAGCAGGAAUAGUUAUUGUUGUUCUGCUGGUGGAUGCUGCUGCUGUAGCUGCUGGUGUGGUUUACUGUCGCAGCAGGAGCCGUACAGCAGUACCACAGAAUGAGGAUGAUGAUAACUUCACCGUCUGAUCCUAAUAACAUUCAUUUGAGUGUGUUUGGUGAGUCUGUGUCAGUGAUGGAGGGAGAUUCAGUCACUUUAUACACUGGUGUUACUGAAAUAUGUGAAGGAUGACGACACUAUGUGGAAGUAUGGAGCUGAAAACUCUCUCAUAGCUAAAAUUAAAAAGGAAGAAAAUCUUCUCCACAUGACAUUCCUGAUGAGAGAUUCAGAGACAGACAGUAAAACUGGAUCUCUGACCAUCACAAACAUCUAUGAUCACAAACACCAGAACUGAACACACUGGAGUUUAUCAACUAGAGAUAGCUGGAGCGAAACUGUGUUAAUUGUUUGGCAGUCAAUGGGACAGUCACAAGCCUCCUGGUUUUCGUCCAAAAUAUCUUAAAUUGUGUUCCGAAGAUGAACGAAGCUUUACAGGUUUGGAACGACAUGGGGAUGGGCGGUUCCUUGAGAUAAUUUGCUGGAGGCUGCGAUUGGUUCUCCUCCUCACCUGAUCCAGAUAUAAGGACUGCCCCAAACAUUCAAUCUCUGCCGUGAUUGUACCAUCGUGUGUGACUCUGUAGUUUUGGCAAGUUAAGGGUUGUAGGGGGUUAGACGUUAUUUAAUUUUGAAACAUCUUUUCACUUUGUUUUUGUUUAGGGAGUCAGGUAAGUUGAAACUGUAUUUUUGUUUUCUUUAAUUUUGUGUUAAAAUAUUAUUUAUGUUUGUUAUUUUGGCCUUGUCUGCUCCUGAAGCUAACCCCAUAUUUGUAAA